ensembl:lncRNA
ACUGUUGUGACACCACUUGCACUGUGAUGCAGUGCCUUAGACCACUGCGUCCAUGUGUGUGUGUUAACUGUUUAACUGUACUAGAAUGCUUAAAAGGCCACUAAAAUUUUAAAUAUCUGUUAUCAGUAUCGGUAUCCUUUUUUUUACAAGGAAAAUAUUGGAUAUCGGUAUCGGCCAAAAAUGUCAUAUCGAUGCAUCACUAAUUAUUACGAUUUCCUAAUGAGAUCAUAAAGAUAGACUUACAUUGUUCCCUGAUUGAGCCAGGUUUCAGGGCAUUGAGCCAGGUUUCAGGGCAUUGAGCCAGGUUUCAGGGCAUUGAGCCAGGUUUCAGGGCAUUGAGCCAGGUUUCAGGGCAUUGAGCCAGGUUUCAGGUCAUUGAGACAGGUUUCAGGGCAUUGAGCCAGGUUUUCUGCCUAUAUUUAAGAGUAAACCAUGCAAAGACUUAAGAGAAAGCCAUCCAGCCCAUCUUAAUGAUACACUGAGCAGAGCUACAAUGCAGGAGCUAUAGUUUGACCCUGACCGUAAUGAUAGCUCUGCUAGGAAGGAAAAACAAAACAUUACUAUUACCUUGGUCUUACUUACCCUGAACAUGUCUAUGUCAACAAAAGUUCAAAACUCAGAGUGUGUCAUUGCAAUCCUGGGAUGGCUUCAAUUGGACAAACAAUGAAGCAAACAUUGGAAAAAAGGAAAAACAAUA